rnacentral:lncRNA from 1 species
UCCCAUUUUCAUUCCCAUCAUUCCCAUUAUUCCCAUUGUUAUUGCCAUUGUUAUUCCCAUUCCCAUUGUUAUUCCCAUUCCCAUUAAUUCCCACUAUCCCCAUCACUCCCAUUCCUGUUAUUCCCAUUAUUAUUCCCAUUGUUAUUGCCAUUGUCAUUCCCAUUGUUAUUCCCAUUAUUCCCAUUGUUAUUCCCAUUGUCAUUCCCAUUAUCUCCAUUAUCAUUCCCAUUAUCAUUCCCAUUAACAUUCCCAUUAUCUCCAUUUUCAUUCCCAUUAUUAUUCCCAUCAUUCCCAUUGUCAUUCCCAUUGUUCCCAUUGUCAUUCCCAUUAUUAUUCCAAUUAUUAUUCCCAUUAUUAUUCCCAUUAUCAUUCCCGCUGUUAUUCCCAUUGUUAUUCCCAUUUUCAUUCCCAUUUUCAUUCCCAUUAUUCCCAUCGUUAUUCCCAUUGUUUUUAUUCCCGUUUUUCCCAUUGUUAUUCCCAUUGUAAUUCCCAUUGUUAUUCCAAUUGUCAUUCUCAUUAUUCCCAUUGUUAUUCCCAUUGUCAUUCCCAUUAUCAUUCCCAUUAUCUCCAUUUUCAUUCCCAGUAUCAUUCCGAUCAUUCCCGUUGCCAUUCCCGCUGUUUUCGUUCCCGUGGUAUAUCCCGUUUAUACCCCGCUGUCCCAUCAUUCCCACUGUCAUUCCCGCUGUUUUCGUUCCCGUUGUAUAUCGCGUUUAUACCCCGCUGUCAUUCCCAUUAUCAUUCCCGCUGCCAUUCCCGCUGCCAUUGCCGUUGUAUAUCCCGUUUAUAUCCCGCUGUCCCAUUAUCAUUCCCGCUGUCAUUCCCGCCGUUUUCAUGGCCGUGGUAUAUCGCGUUUAUACCCCGCUGUCGCAGGCUCGUUCUCGGCGACGCUGCCGCCGUACCAGCAGUCGGAGGUGAUGCUGUUCAUCAUCAACAAGGUGCCCAUCCCCGACAACUCCCGGCAUUCCCAACAUUCCCGCAGCGUCCCGGAACAUUCCGGAGCCGAGGAU